UCCUAUGAUGGCAUGAAAUCUUUGAGACCUGAAUUCUCAAUCUUGAUGACAACUUACAAGCAAUUUUUCUGAGGAU
rfam:Capsicum annuum cultivar Zunla-1 chromosome 5, whole genome shotgun sequence